AGUCAACGUUGGCGGCGUGCGUAACACAUGCAAGUCGAACGAUUCUUAAGUGGCUUGCCAUUUAAGGAGAGUGGCGAACGGGUGAGUAACACGUGAGUAAUCUGCCCUCGAGCGGGGAAUAACUCCGCGAAAGCGGUGCUAAUACCGCAUAAUACUCUAAAGCACACGCUUCUAGAGUCAAAGCCCCUUAGGGGGUGCUCGAGGAUGAGCUUGCGCCAUAUUAGCUUGUUGGUGGGGUAAUGGCCUACCAAGGUUAUGAUGUGUAGCCGGCCUGAGAGGGUGUGCGGCCACACUGGAACUGCGACACGGUCCAGACUCCUACGGGAGGCAGCAGUGGGGAAUUUUGCGCAAUGGGCGAAAGCCUGACGCAGCGACGCCGCGUGGAGGAUGACGGCCUUCGGGUUGUAAACUCCUGUCAGAGGUGAAGAAAGCCCUUUCGGGGGCCUGACGGUAACCUCAGAGGAAGCCCCGGCUAACUACGUG
rnacentral:rRNA from 1 species